rnacentral:lncRNA from 13 species
UUGUUACAAUUAAUGAACAAAUAAUGAUAUUAUUAUUAUUAACUAAAGAUGAUUUAGUUUACUUUCUAAAGUCUGUAGUUUAUAUUAAAAUUAAUUCUGUGUUGUACUGUCCUGUGAGUUUGGACAAAUGCAUAAUGCCAUGUAUCUACCAUUAAGGUAUUAUACAGAAUAAUUUCACUGUGUUAAAAAUCCCCUGUGCUCUCACUAUUUUCUCUCAGUCUGUGGCUUGUCUUUUCAUGAUCUUUUUUACAAGACUGCCAGGUUUGUAUGCCAGCAACAGACCAAUACACUGAGACAGCAAGGUUUGCAGCAGAAAAAGAAUUUAGUAAUUGCAAGUUCACCCAACAAGGAAACUGGAGGAAUUCUCAAGCCUCAAGUCUCUUUUGUCAGGAGUUCUGGGCAAGGGUUUUUAGGGCGAUGGUGAAAGGUGAGUGGCUGGAAAAUAGGGAUUGCCAAUUGGUCCGGGAAGGGGAUGAAGUCAUCAGGAUGUGAAAACUGCAUUCUUCUAUGAGUCAGCUUCUCACCAGGCCCUUCAGACCAGCUGGCGUCGGUAAUUCUGUUUGUAUGCAGAACCUAGAGGAGUAAACAGAGAGAGAGCUUACUAUCUCACAUUGCCUUAGGUUUAUCUACAGAACGAAGAGCGACAAGGGCUAUGCUAUCCUGGGUAGUGAGCAGUGACCAGCUAUGAGGAAGUGGGCAAAAGGUCUACUGCCCCCCAAAACUCAUAUAUUGGAAAUGUAAUUCCCAGUGCAACAGUGUUGGGAGGUGUUUAGGUCAUGAGAACACCACUCUCACAAAUGAAUUAGUGAUGCUAUAGAAAGGAUUCACCCACUCUGCUUUUCUACCAUGAGGACACAGCGUUUAUCCACUCGGGAGGACUCACCAUUCAAAGCGCCAUCUUGAAAUCAGAGUCUGGACUCUUACAAGACAAUGAAUCCGCUGCCUGAAGCCUGGGGAUUUUUCUCCUGUCUUCACAGUGAGAAACUGGUGCCCUUCCUGGAGGUAACCCCAGGAAAAUGUGGGGCUUCCCUACCACAGGAACCCCAGGAGUCUAUAACACUUAAGCUCCUCCAAACACUCAGCCUCCAGCAACUUAUCAACUACCAUGUAAGGGCCCCUCCAAGUUGCCAGCUCCGGGGUGGCUUCUGCUUCUGGAAGAAGAAGCUCCAAAGAAGCUCUGGAGGAAGCUCCUGGAAGAAGAUUUCUGAAGAAGCUCCUGAAGCUCUGAAGCUGCCCCACUGGCGAAGUCGGAGGUGUGUGUCCCCACCCCUCUCCCAACUCGGGGCUCCUGGUCUAGAAGGCAGGCAGGGACCUGCUCAGACUCCCAAAGUCUCCAAUUUAUUCUGGAGGGUGAGAUAG